rnacentral:lncRNA from 1 species
UCUUUCCAGCUGAGGGAUCCCCGCCCCCUCCUGCUUGCACGCAAGUAGGAAUGGGAUUGGGGCUGCUCCGAUGGGAAGGGAGACAUCGCGCUGUCCGAGCCUCGCUGCCACCGCCACUCUUGGCCCUCCUUCUCUGCCUUCCAUGCCUGACCCACCGUGCAUCGCUUCCCCACCACCACCACCACCAAAGAACCAACAACUCAGGGGCUGCCCAGGCUCAUGGAGAAAGGAGAUAGAAGCCCUGGAGGAAGGGGAAACGUGGCGCUUGAGGUCAAAGCGGCGGCUGCCCCUCUGCCACCGCCAUUGCUGCAGAAUCAACAUCCCAAACUUUUUCCUGCAGUCACAUCAACAGUAGGCUGCAAACCUACUCAACCUCUCUCAACAACAAAGUUUGAAUGGCCCUUCCAGUGGCAGUGAAGCAGUCCAGCAAUCUUCCUUCUUCAUUUAGAUAAGAAGGCCUCAAUGGGAAACAUGUCAGGAGGAUGCAUUGGUGACAAUCUCUGUUAGCUGCCCCACUUCGUAUCAUUACAUCGUUCAUGAACUUCCUACCUGUGCUGCAGCAGCCCACAGCUAUUCAUCCCAAAUCAAAAUGUGCUGUGGCAGCUUUGCCACCACUGGAUGACAAGGCUACACUUCCCUUGGAUUUAAGGAUGGACAGGUCAGCUUAUUUCUGUUUUGGACCAUCACACAAGGGCCAGGGCAGGUCAAAAGGCCCUCUCUGCUUGCACACAUAUAACAAUGAAUACUGAACUGAAUAACUGGAUUGACGAUGGUGAUGGGUAUUUGUAUACUGCCCUUCAUCUGAAGAUCACAGGCAGUUCACAACAAAAGAAUACAAAAUGAGAACACAAAAUACAUAAUGAAACAAAAACAAAGCAAUGGCGCCCUCCCACAAACACACGCUAUCAAAUAAGGAAAGAGGGGAGAAAUAGCGCCUUUUUUAAACUGUUUCUAUUCGUCAGUGCCAACCAUUAAAAAACUUACUGCCAACUCCCACUUCUGGCAUUGGCAGCUUCUAGCAUCAUAGAUGAGUGUGGGCGGUUGAGAACAAGACAGGCCCAGAAUGUUGGCACCAGUUCUGGUACAACAGUCAUUGAGGUAGGUGACACGUCGCUCAGUCCAGCCAAUAGAAGAAGCGCCACGCAGCUCAGGAAAUGCCCAGGGGCCAGGCGAUGCAGCAAGCCACGUA